UUUAAUUAAAACAACGCAUUGUGAUGGUCCCUACAGAUGCUAACACAAUGUGAUUUAUGGCCAGUGCUCUGCAUGUCAAAGUGAAGAAAUUCAACCAAGAGAAGGUAAACGAUGGGAGUAACUAUGACUCUCUUAAGGUAGAUAGAUGCCUCGUCAUCUAAUUAGUGAUGUGCAUGAAUGGAUAAAUGAGACUUCCACUAUCCAUAUAUACUAUCUAGAGAAAUCACAACCAAGGGAACAGGCUUGGCAGAAUCAGUGGGGAAAGAAGACCUUGUUGAGCUUGACUCUAGUCUGACUUUGUGAAAUGACUUGAGAGGUGUAGAAUAAGUGGGAGAGGUUUUCAGUGCAAGUGAAAUACUACUAAUUUUAACGUUAUUUUAUUUAUUCUGUGGGGUGGAUAUGGGGAAUUUCCCCUAUUUUUGUCCCUACGACACCUUUCGGUGGGGUGAUCUGGGUAGAAGACAUUGUCAGGUGGGGAAUUUGGCUGGGGUGGCACAUAUGUUAAAAGAUAAUGCACAUUCCCUCAAAGUGUUGUCAUUGAUGGAAAUGGUCAAGAGAUCAUUCUUCACGCACUUGAUGUCAUUGAUUGUCAAGCGUUGCAAGAUGUAACCAUGAAAGAACAACUUUAUGGGUAUUACCAUAAUCAACUCAUCUU
rfam:Picea glauca, whole genome shotgun sequence.